CACUUUUCCAAUGGACACCACAGUGAGUCAAGGCUCUGAGAGAAACCUUAAGGCCGUUUGUACUGUGUGGAACCAGGGUUGCCCUCUGAGUUCUGUCUGACUGGCAGGGGUCACGGAGAAACAGGCCUAAUUCUGGCGUUGUGGAUUUGAAUGAACUUUCUCUGAGGUGCACAAUUGAGAGCAUCUUGUCAGGCUGUGUCACCGCCUGGUAUGGCAACUGCAGAACCCACACCUACAGGGCUCUCCAGAGGGUAGUGAGGUCUGCACAACGCAUCACCGGGGGAAAACUGCCUGCCCUCCAAGACGCCUACACCACCCGAUGUCACAGGAAGGUCAUAAAGAUCAUCAAGGACCUCAGCCACCCGAGCCACUGCCUGUUCGCCCCACUAUCAUCCAGAAGAGGACCUGAGCCCGAGGACCAUACCUCAGGACUACCUGGCCUGACGACUCCAUGCUGUCCCCAGUCCACCUGGCCCUAGGACCAUGCCUCAGGACUACCUGGCCUGACGACUCCAUGCUGUCCCCAGUCUACCUGGCCCUAGGACCAUGCCUCAGGACUACCUGGCCUGAUGACUCCAUGCUGUCCCCAGUCUACCUGGCCCUAGGACCAUGCCUCAGCACUACCUGGCCUGAUGACUCCAUGCUGUCCCCAGUCCACCUGGCCCUAGGACCAUGCCUCAGGACUACCUGGCCUGAUGACUCCAUGCUGUCCCCAGUCCAGCUGGCCAUGCUGCUCCUCUUCUGUCCUUUCUAGGGAGUUUUUCCUAGCCACCGUGCUUCUACACCUGCAUUGCUUGCUGUUUGGGGUUUUAAGGCUGGGUUUCUGUACAGCACUUUGAGAUAUCAGCUGAUGUAAGAAAUGCUUUAUAAAUACAUCUGAUUUGAAAUAAAUUAGAUUUGUUAAACAGCCAUCACUAACACAGAGAGGAGACUGCCUACCUCCAGACUUUGAUAUCAUUGGCCUCUUUAAUAAAUGGAACACGAGUCA